ACCCGGUUGCCCACAGGAUAUCACCGCCCCCAUCCCAGGGCCCACCAGAACCAACAGGGAGAGAGAGGCAGGAAAUGCCGUCUAACGGGAUCUCUGGAUGGAGAAUUCCACAGCUGAUUGGAACCUAAACGAGAGAACCAAAUGGACAUCCCAGGGCUGCAGAAGCCACCCCAUCUAUGACUAAGACACCCUCCCACCUUCAUGCUACUGAGUGGACAAGCUUACAUGAAAUGACUGUUUUCACAUAUGUGGCACCAGGCAGCCCAGGGAUGCCGGUGAAAUCUCUGGGAGAACGGCAUGUUCCAGAGAGCCACAGCUUGCUCAGCCUGGACCCCAGAACGAAGGAGGCAUCAGAAGCUGAGCCACCCGUGGCCGACAAGAAACCUGAGUGGGAGGGGAAACUUGGUUGCUGUGAUCGACCCAGGCUUGCGAGUUGUUUUGGCAACACAGCCUAGCAAGAGCCGACCAAUAUGUCAUUGAUGAAAGAAAGUCAACAGGCGUGUAGAAGGAGCUGUCUACUGAGCAUGUCUGCACUUUUCUGAAUUAUGUUGCACUUGAGUAAAAAGUAAGCAAGCCUGUCUAUUUACUUUAAAUGAUGUGUGCCAGAUAUGUACAGUAUGCAGAGUUAAGAAGGUGCCACCCCAAAAUAGGCUGCUCUGGCAUAGUCACUAUUAGGAAUUAAAGGCAGUUAAAACAAU